ensembl:lncRNA
UCAAAGCUUAUAGAAAAAAACUUUUAUUUUCCCCUAUUCACAAAAAUUAAAUAAAAAGGGAUACACCAGAUUACAUCCAACCUGCACCACAGUUCAGCAAAAAAAAAAAAAAAAAAAAGGUAAUACAUGAAAUUCAACUGCUGGCCUUGAUAUCAGAUUGAAACAAAACUUCUGAAUUUGUCUUCCACGUUCUUCCCUCCGGUAUGCACCAAGCACCGCCUCGUCCUCAGUACAACCGUGUCAAAUUUAACAUCAUCAGAUGGUCCGCUAUAAAACAACGAAAACAAACUGUUCUUUAAAUAAAAAGAAUAAAAAGGAGAAAAAAAACUUUUAAAGUCCAAAAAAAAAUUUGUGCACUACAGCACAAAGCCAUAACAUAAAAAACAAAAUAAAUUAAAAAAAAAAACAUUUUUAAAAAGGGAAAAAAACAACAACAAAAACCUGUGGACAACUUGUAUUUAUGUAUCAACAACAUGGUGAGAUGUGGCAAAGCUUUUUAUUUUAACUAAUUCUUUGUGGCACAGGAGCUGCAAGCAUGCUGGUGCAGCCUGUGACCAGCAGGGGGCCACCUCAUCUCUCAAUGGCUGCCUUCCAGUUAAAGCUGCACAGGAUGCCCUCAGUUAUUCACACUGUGGAGUGCUGCGGCUUAAAGUGGCCACAUUAAUUAGGAAGAAACAAAACUACCAGAAUUAAAGGGUUUAUUCUAAAAUACAUAAUCUACAGUCAGAAGCUGAUGUGAAUGCAACUUUGAUCAGGCAGGAACAUGUGUUAGAGAUGUCCAUCGGGCCUCAGUCAUGGAGGCUAGAGACUGAUCGGCGACCUCCGGUGGCUAAAUGUGAAAAACCUUCAAACCAGAAACUAAAAACAUUUGCUAACAAAGUAAAAACCAGGUCUUACUGAUGCAACAAUUUCUUUUGUUUUUUUUCCUUCUUUUUUUUAAAGCCAACUUUUACUUUAAAGGAAACAGUCUCCGUUUCUGGUUUGUGGUGAACUUGUCAGUUUCACCAGCAGUGAGCAGUCUUCAAUAGAAACUAUGGGACACAGAAGCCACCUGGAAGUAAUCAAAGCAAUUUCAAGGUUAUCACUACAACACUGUAUAAACCCCCUUUGAGACAAAUUUCCACCUGGCAAAUGCCAGAAACCACUCGUAAAAUAGACAUUUUUCCCCUAGCGACCAGAGGUUGCCGGGGAGAUCAUUGACCGGUCUCUUGCCCUGUGCGGCUGGAAUCUUAAUCAUUAUCUCUGAAGCUUUUGUGCACCCUGUCCAACUAUUAACCAGCAGGCAAGUGGCCUAACUUUACUCCCAAACAUAACUUUUUGAGUAGGGCUGGUCAAAUUAUGUCUAAAAAGUACUUCUGGAAACACAACCAGGCAAACAGCCAUAUACAGCUCCAUUACAACCAUCCACACCAUGGACAGUGAUGAGAAGAUAAAGCAGAGUAAGAUAACCAAGAUGAGGGAACGUACUAUCAGGACUCUGUUUAUCCCAGGCAUAUCCUACACAGUAUCAACGGGUGAAUAUAUGGCAACGACAAUCACUAGUUUGAUCAUAAGCUGGAGAAGUACCUUAUCAGUCCAGCAGCGAGUUGCAUUGCCAUUGACAAGCACUUAUAAAGGUGGGUCCCUAAAAAGGGACCAGCUACUAGAAGAACAAGAAAAACGAAAGGGGCAAGACCUGUCAAAAAGCAUGCAACAUUCAUGACAAGGUGAAGCCUCGAUGGCUCCGACAGCCAUCGCUUAACAGGAAGCUGUAAUGAAAUCGACCGGGGAGGGGGGGAGUGACAUCCUCAGACACAGGUAUGGAUUGACAACUGCAAAAAAACACUACAUUUAAGAUGUCUCCCUCCACUUACAUCCUAAUCAGUCCAUUUUAUAAGGAGCUACAUUAUAAAACUAUGUUAAGAGGCCUCAAGUCUUACCAAGUCAUCGUAUCAUUGCUUAACAUUAUCAGUAUGCUUACCUCGGCAAGCCGUUAACAGUCCUAAAAAUCACUUAUCAAGACAAAACGCUAGGUUUCAAGUUCAGUAUAUUACUGUACGCCUUACAUAAGAAAUUCUAAAUUUAUUACAAAAGAGAGAAAAAAAGUGCAUUUAUACCAGUAAGAACCAAUUCAUUCUUGGUGAUGUCUUAUAGCUCUGUUUCACAAAUACUCUAUUUAAAAAAAAAAAAAAGAAAGAAAGCAGCAAAUAUGAUUCUCAGCUUGCCUACAGUAUUUUAAACUCCUGUUGCAGUGUUGGUUUUUUCCCCAAACAAAAAUGCGCACGAGCUGAUUAAACCUGCCUAUAAUCUAGUCUUCGCACACGUGCGCGCUGCCUCCGUUUUAACUACUCGGACACUGAUUAGACAAUAUGCAUGAAAAGGGAGGACAAAAGAACCACGCACGUGACGGCUUUAAGUUAUGGCAAGCCUCCCCGUUCGGACGACAACUAACGCAAUAAAUGGAGAAGGAAAAAAAACAAUACAGAAACAAAACCCAUUCACUCUAACGUGCAUCACUUAAGAGGUGAUCGUAUGUCAUGCAAUAUUUUGGUACUGUGGUGGUAAAACCUUAAAGAGGACAGAUGUACUGCAUCUCUUUGCCUCCGACAAGGGAAGGAAAAUAGCUACAGGACUGAAGAUUUUCAGCAACCAAGGGAAGAGGAAGGAAGCGUAAAUAUGAAAGGGAGGGAGAGAAAAAAAAAGAAAGAAAAAAAAAAGACCCAUGUGUAUGCACACGAAAUGCUUUGAUGAUUUUUGCAGUGAAAGGUGCAAAACAAACUGUGUGCACAUUGUUACAUAGUAAAAGCGUCUGUGUUUAUUAUUUAGCCUCUGGCACGAGCCUGUUUAAACACCUGUGUGUGGUAUUUGGGACUGUGGCACCCUAUGCUGUUUCAGAUCAUUCCUUUUUGUUUUGUUUUUAAAAGUGUACCUAUCUGCCACCCCCCCCUCCCCUCCCAGCCGUCAUCUAUGUCAGACUAAUUUAAAAAAAAAAAAAAAAAAUAGGAAAAAAAAUAUCGAGGAGGGGGGAGGUCGAACUUGGCCUCCGUUUUGCCCUCACCUACCUAGAAUCCCUGCGGUGCUGUUGGCGAAAAGUCACUUUUGAGCAUGUUGGAUUUAGUGAGGCGUUUUAUCCGAGAGGUAUGUGUAUAUCCCCAGUUUAC